UCAUGGAGACUUCCUGUUUAACUUUUUGAAACUCCAAGCGAUUGCAACCUUUCCUUGCACUGUUGUACUUGAUAUUGUGCAAUAUAUAUGCGCCUGUGUACGUUAUGGUUAUAUUAGGCACCAUCCGGGAUAUCAAGCAUCGAAAUCUGAUGUGCGACACUUGCGCUUUGCCACUAGAAGGCAGAAUUUUCUCUAGGGGUGUGUUUUUUGUGCAUGAAGCGGUUUUAAGAUGAACAGAUGCCAAUUCUUCGAACAAGAAGUUUUCGUUCCUUCACCUGCCAUUGUUGAUCGCAUAUAUCGAUGCAACGAGAAUCCCAAUAUCUUCCUUGUUGUACAUCUCUAAAAUAUCUUUGAACAUAGCCAUUUCCAUCUUGAAGUGGUACGUCCUUUGGUCAUCUUGC